rnacentral:rRNA from 1 species
AAUAAUACGAUUUAACUAGGUUUAGUAUUAAUAUGUAGGAAUAAUAAAUUUUAAGGGAGAAUUUAUUAGGUGGAAUUUUAAAUUUUGAGGGGAUUUAUUUUUGAUUAUUAGUUAAGAAAUUUAUAAAUAGACUAGGAUUAGAUACCCUAUUAUUUUAAAUGUAAAUUUAUGCUAGAUUAGUAUCAGUUAAGUUCUUGAAAAUUAAAGAUUUUGGCGGUUUUUUAGUCUGUUCAGAGGAACCUGUCCUAUAAUUGAUAGUCCACGAUUUGAAAGACUUUUUUUAUAGUUUAUAUAUCGUCGUAGUUAGAAUAUUCUAAAAGGAGAUUAAUUUUCAAGAAUUAUUUUUUAAGGUAAAUCAGAUCAAGGUAUAGCUUAUAAAAAAGAAGAGAUGGGUUACAUUAAUUUAAAUUUUAGAUUAUUUUUUUAAAAGAAGUAUGAAUUUGGAUUUGAAUGUAAUUUUAUUGAGAUAAGUAAAAUGAUUUAAGCUCUAAAAUAUGCACAUAUCGCCCGUCGCUUUCAUUUUAAGGUGAAAUAAGUCGUAACAAAGUAGGUUUACUGGAAAGUGGGUCUGGAAAGCAAGUUAGAGCUUGUUAAAAAAGCGUUUUAUUUACACUAAGGAGUUAAUUGUGAGAUUCAAUUUUUCUUGAGAUAAGGAAAAUUAUUAUUUUAUAUUGAAUGGAAAUGAUUAGAGAAAAAAUUUUUAGUUAAGUAGAUAAAUUGAAUAAUAGGGGUUAAUUAUAGGGGAUUAGUAUUGUGAAAGAAUUUUUUUUAUGGGUAAAAGAAGAAUUUUUUUUG